AAGUCGUAACAAGGUUUCCGUAGGUGAACCUGCGGAAGGAUCAUUACAGAGUUCAUGCCCUCACGGGUAGAUCUCCCACCCUUGUGUAUUCUAAUCAAUUGUUGCUUUGGCGGGCCGCAUGCCUCGCUUGCCCGGGAGCUUCCCGGCGUGCCCGCCAGAGAACCCCCAAACUCUGAAUGUUAGUGUCGUCUGAGUACUAUAUAAUAGUUAAAA
rnacentral:misc_RNA from 1 species